rnacentral:rRNA from 1 species
CAUAUAUGGUCUUACGGCAGGGCUACACACGUGCUACAAUGGUGCGCACAGAGGGCUGCAAACCCGCGAGGGGGAGCUAAUCUCACAAAACGCAUCGUAGUCCGGAUCGGAGUCUGCAACUCGACUCCGUGAAGUCGGAAUCGCUAGUAAUCGUGAAUCAGAAUGUCACGGUGAAUACGUUCCCGGGCCUUGUACACACCGCCCGUCACACCAUGGGAGUGGAUUGCACCAGAAGUGGUUAGUCUAACCUUCGGGAGGACGAUCACCACGGUGUGGUUCAUGACUGGGGUGAAGUCGUAACAAGGUAGCCGUAGGGGAACCUGCGGUAUCCUAACCUCCUGAUCCGCACUGUCUGAUACUCCCCGGCGGCAUCGAAAUCCUCGAGAUGAACCGUACCGGAAUGAUUCACUUCAGACUCCUGUCACUGGCGGUUGCCCUCAGAAUAAUACUU